UACGGAGGGAACUAGCGUUGUUCGGAUUUACUGGGCGUAAAGAGCGCGUAGGCGGCUUAUUAAGUUAGAAGUGAAAGCCCAGGGCUUAACCCUGGAACAGCUUCUAAAACUGGUAAGCUAGAGUGCGGGAGAGGAUAGUGGAAUUCCUAGUGUAGAGGUGAAAUUCUUAGAUAUUAGGAGGAACACCGGUGGCGAAAGCGACUAUCUGGAACGUUACUGACGCUGAGGCGCGAAAGCGUGGGGAGCAAACAGG
rnacentral:rRNA from 1 species